rnacentral:rRNA from 1 species
AUUGAACGCUGGCGGCAUGCCUUACACAUGCAAGUCGAACGGCAGCACGGGAGCAAUCCUGGUGGCGAGUGGCGAACGGGUGAGUAAAGUAUCGGAAAGUGACCAGUCGUGGGGGAUAACGUAGCGAAAGUUACGCUAAUACCGCAUACGAUCUAUGGAUGAAAGCGGGGGAUCGCAAGACCACGCGCGCAUGGAGCGCCCGAUCUCAGAUUAGGUAGUUGUUGGGGUAAAGGCUCACCAAGCCGACGAUCUGUAGCUGGUCUGAGAGGACGACCAGCCACACUGGGACUGAGACACGGCCCAGACUCCUACGGGAGGCAGCAGUGGGGAAUUUUGGACAAUGGGCGCAAGCCUGAUCCAGCCAUGCCGCGUGCAGGAUGAAGGCCUUCGGGUUGUAAACUGCUUUUGUACGGAACGAAAAGGUUUGACUUAAUACGUUGGACUCAUGACGGUACCGUAAGAAUAAGCACCGGCUAACUACGUGCCAGCCGCCGCGGUAA